CCUACGGGAGGCAGCAGUGAGGAAUAUUGGUCAAUGGACGAGAGUCUGAACCAGCCAAGUAGCGUGAAGGAUGACUGCCCUCUGGGUUGUAAACUUCUUUUAUAUGGGAAUAAAAUGUUCCACGUGUGGGAUUUUGUAUGUACCAUAUGAAUAAGGAUCGGCUAACUCCGUGCCAGCAGCCGCGGUAAUACGGAGGAUCCGAGCGUUAUCCGGAUUUAUUGGGUUUAAAGGGAGCGUAGGUGGAUUGUUAAGUCAGUUGUGAAAGUUUGCGGCUCAACCGUAAAAUUGCAGUGGAAACUGGCAGUCUUGAGUACAGUAGAGGUGGGCGGAAUGCGUGGUGUAGCGGUGAAAUGCGUAGAUAUCACGAAGAACACCGAUUGCGAAGGCAGUUCACUGGACUGCAACUGACACUGAGGCUCGAAAGUGUGGGUAUCAAACAGGAUUAGAUACCCUAGUAGUC
rnacentral:rRNA from 1 species